rnacentral:rRNA from 1 species
UACAGAGGUCUCAAGCGUUGUUCGGAUUUAUUGGGCGUAAAGGGUGUGUAGGUGGCGCCGUAAGUCGGGGGUGAAAUUUCGGAGCUUAACUCCGAAACUGCAUUCGAUACUGCGGUGCUUGAGGACUGGAGAGGAGACUGGAAUUCACGGUGUAGCGGUGAAAUGCGUAGAUAUCGUAAGGAAGACCAGUGGCGAAGGCGGGUCUCUGGACAGUUCCUGACGCUGAGGCACGAAGGCCAGGGGAGCAAACGGG